ensembl:lncRNA
AUUUAAAUGCUAAAGGGCAGCUCCUCUACUGAAGGCAACUGAAGCCAAGAGAGCUGUGACAGUUUAUGCCAGCUGAAGAUUUGCCUUUAAGUAAAUGUUUUAAACUUUUCACUAAGGAGACUAAAAUAAGCCAUAGCAUGAAACGUUAAGAGCAAAGAAUGAACUCUGGAGACCAGAGGGAUUUGGGAAAUGAAAUGAGAUCCAUCUUACUGGCACAUUUCCCCCUCCGUCUAUUUUUGGAAUUUAAAAAAUUCCCCCAGAUUUGUCUUCUACAGACCAGCUUUUUGUUCACAGACCAGCACUGAGCAGCCUCCUCUUUCACACAGGGCAGCUAUGCAACUUGCAACCAGAUAUGAGAUGAACAAGAAGAUUUGUAGUUGGUGAGCAAGUUGUGAUCAACCCAACUCCUCUGCAGAAUGCUGUGAUGCUCACCAUGACUGGCAUGAUCCAGCUGUGCUACACGAUGGAGAAGGUUCAAGUGUGUCAGCUCCUGGUCUGAAUGUGGAAACAGCAGAAACACGCUGUGUAGGUGGCUUACACUGUGUAGCCAGCGAACGUGCCUGCAGAUACAUGGGCAAUACCAGCACAAAGGCUACUUGCUUACCAGCCCACGCACAAAUCUGUUCCACGCUCCGCAUGGGAAGAGGCAGCAGCAUCGCGGAUGAGCGAAGGCUGCAGGGUGCUGAUAUUUGGGUGAAAAUCCACACCCCACUGUGUUAUUCAUCCCUCACCAGUCCUCCAAAAUCUCCUCCCCCAGGAUAGUUUUUUGGACAGCAUCGGGAUAAAUUCUGCUGGAGGAUGGCAGAACAGGCCAAGGAGUGAGUCAAAAAUACCCACUCGUUUGAGGGAAUGAAGUAGUGUGGAAGGACUGGGUGCUAUUAAGUUGAAAGCUGUUUGUGUAGCACGGCUGCCUAACAAACAACCCUUUCAAAUAAAUUCUGAAUAAGAAUAAUGAUAUUUACUCCAAUCUUGUAGACACAGCCUUGCUCUCUUCCCAAAGUGAGGGCAAGGUCUAUGCACAGCCAGCUUCUCUGUGGGAAAGGAGAUCUGUUCAGCGCCAACAUGAACAUUGCCAGAAUGGGGUUCACAGUUGCAUGAUAGGAACACAGCAGUACUGGGCUGGGGGGAUUUGAUGCAAGCACUAACCUACUUAAUCCACUGGAGACUGCCUGGCUGUUCUUGUCUGCUUGCCAGAAGGGCUCUCAUGUCUGUGCCUCACUGCAGGGAUGCCCUGUGUUAGUUCCUCUUCCAUUUUUCACUUCUAUUUUUCACCUAGGAAACCUCCUUCUGCAGGACUGAAUGUCCUUGAAAGCAUCAGUUAUAACAAACAACCAGGGGCAGAUCUCAGACGAAUGCUGCACAAGUCAGAGGUCACAGCUGGAACUGCUUUUAGGGGAAAUUCAAAAUUACUGUCAAAAGCAGUUCUCUCUCAUUUUAAUUGUAAUUGGUUAAUCUCAUUUUAUUUGCCUUGUGGCUAUGGCUGUGAAGCUUAGGAAACUCUCGGGGCCCCUGCUCUGCUCUCAGUUACCCUGG